CUUGGAUUUGGCUGUUUGCCGCUCGAAAGAGUCGGCUCAGCUUAAAAGUAUUAGCUGGAUCUGUCUUUGAGACUUGGUUUGACUUGGCGUAAUAAGUUAUUUCGCUGAGGACAAUCUUCGGAUUGGCCGAGUUUCUGGACGUUUGUCCGCUUUCUAAUACAAGUUCUAGCUUGCUAGACAUGACUUUUUAUUAUCUGGCCUCAAAUCAGGUAGGACUACCCGCUGAACUUAAGCAUAUCAAUAAGCGGAGGAAAAGAAACUAACAAGGAUUCCCCUAGUAACGGCGAGUGAAGCGGGAAGAGCUCAAAUUUGAAAUCUGGUGGCCUCAGGCUAUCCGAGUUGUAAUCUAUAGAAACAUUUUCCGCGUUGGCCCAUGUACAAGUCUCUUGGAAUAGAGCGUCAUAGAGGGUGAGAAUCCCGUCCUUGACAUGGACUACCAGUGCUUUGUGAUAUGUUUUCAACGAGUCGAGUUGUUUGGGAAUGCAGCUCAAAAUGGGUGGUAAAUUCCAUCUAAAGCUAAAUAUUGGCGAGAGACCGAUAGCGAACAAGUACCGUGAGGGAAAGAUGAAAAGCACUUUGGAAAGAGAGUUAAACAGUAUGUGAAAUUGUUGAAAGGGAAACGAUUGAAGUCAGUCGUGUCUAUUGGACUCAGCCGGUUCUGCCGGUGUACUUCCUUUAGAUGGGGUCAACAUCAGUUUUGAUCGCUGGAAAAGGGCAGGAGGAAUGUAGCACUCUCGGGUGAACUUAUAGCCUUCUGUCGCAUACAGUGGUUGGGACUGAGGAACGCAGCUUGCCUUUAUGGCCGGGAUUUAUCCACGUACAAGCUUAGGAUGUUGAC
rnacentral:sRNA from 1 species